rnacentral:rRNA from 1 species
AGAGUUUGAUCCUGGCUCAGGACGAACGCUGGCGGCGGGCCUAACACAUGCAAGUCGUGGGAGAAGCGGUUCCUUCGGGAACCGUGGAGACCGGCGGAUGGGUGAGUAACGCGUAGACAACCUGCCUGAAGGACGGGGAUAACAUUCCGAAAGGGGUGCUAAUACCCGAUGAUGCAGCGGUCCCGCAUGGGAACAGUUGUUAAAGGUUUCGGCCACCUUCAGAUGGGUCUGCGUGCCAUUAGCUAGUUGGUAGGGUAAGAGCCUACCAAGGCGAUGAUGGCUAGGGGGUCUGAGAGGAUGAUCCCCCACACUGGGACUGAGACACGGCCCAGACUCCUACGGGAGGCAGCAGUGAGGAAUCUUGCGCAAUGGAGGCAACUCUGACGCAGCCACGCCGCGUGCUGGAAGACGGCCCUAUGGGUUGUAAACAGCUUUUACCAGGGAAGAACCCGGAGGUUUCGAUCUCCGCUGACGGUACCUGGUGAAUAAGCACCGGCUAACUCCGUGCCAGCAGCCGCGGUAAUACGGAGGGUGCAAGCGUUGUCCGGAAUCAUUGGGUGUAAAGGGUGCGCAGGCGGGCUACUAAGUCGAGGGUGACAUCUUGCCGCUUAACGGUAAAAUGCCCUUCGAUACUGAUAGUCUUGAGUCCAGAAGAAGUCGGUGUAAUUCGUGGUGUAGCGGUGAAAUGCAUAGAUAUCACGAAGAACACCAGUGGCGAAGGCGGCCCGACUGGUCUGGUACUGACGCUGAGGCACGAGAGCGUGGGGAGCGAACAGGAUUAGAUACCCUGGUAGUCCAUGCCGUAAACGAUGUGUGCUAGAUGUUGGCCCUUCGGGGUCAGUGUCGCAGCUAACGCAGUAAGCACACCACCUGGGGAGUACGUCCGCAAGGAUGAAACUCAAAGGAAUUGACGGGGGCCCGCACAAGCGGUGGAGCAUGUGGCUUAAUUCGAUGCAACGCGAAGAACCUUACCCAGGCUAAAUCCAGCCUGACCGCUCCUGAAAGGGGGCUUCCCUUCGGGGCAGGCUGGAAGGUGCUGCAUGGCUGUCGUCAGCUCGUGCCGUGAGGUGUUGGGUUAAGUCCCGCAACGAGCGCAACCCCUACGGUUAGUUACCAGCACGUAAUGGUGGGGACUCUAGCCGGACUGCCUACGCAAGUAGUGAGGAAGGUGGGGACGACGUCAAGUCAUCAUGGCCCUUACGUCUGGGGCUGCACGCGUGCUACAAUGGACGGUCCAAUGGGAAGCCACCGCGCGAGCGGCAGCAGAUCCCCAAAACCGUUCCCAGUUCGGAUUGGAGUCUGAAACUCGACUCCAUGAAGCCGGAAUCGCUAGUAAUCGCGUAUCAGCAACGGCGCGGUGAAUACGUUCCCGGGCCUUGUACACACCGCCCGUCAAGCGAUGGAAGCAGGGAGUACCUGACGAGGCCGGGCCAAUCCCUUCGGGGAGGGCAGGUCUUCAGGGUAAGCCCUGUGACUGGCGCUAAGUCGUAACAAGGUAGCCGU